GGAUGUAAGGGCGAUCUGGUUGUGACAUCUGUCACUCCAUUGAUUGCCAGGGUUGAUUCAGCUGAUCUGGCUGGCUAGGCUGGUGUCCCCUUCCUCCCUCACUGCUCCAUGUGUGUCCCUUCCGAAGCUGUACACUAGGUCGAAGAGGAUGGCCUUCUCCAAAUAGAGAUGAACCGGUCUUCUGUUGAGGGUAUACGAGUAGCUGCACUCCCUUGCUAGAACCUCCAAACAAGACAAGAGACAACAAAUGCUGGAGAGGUUUGUGAGAUUAAGGGAACCCUCCUAUAGUCUGGAGAACUCUCAGA
ensembl:misc_RNA 7SK 7SK RNA